CUUAUCCUCUCGCCAACACAGCACAGCCACGUCUUCUCUCUCUCCUCGUUUCUUCAAGCUGAUUUCUCCUCCAUCACGCACCGUGUCUCCAACUUUGAUGUGGCUCUGCCGGCUGCCACUUCCUUUCUCAACCACGGCGAUCCGCCACCAUCUCCCUUCGCACCAGCAGCGAGCCUUCUGCACCCCACGCGAUCCAUCGCCACCACUGUUUCUCGCCCCAGGGCGCCCCGGCCUCACUCCAACCUUCCCACUCCCCACUCUCCACCUUCGCCGGACCCCUCCUCGCCGACUUACCCCACAUGGCGAGGCGUGCCGUGAUACCGUCGCCCGAGCUCCGACGACAACAUCCCUGUCCUCCUUGAUCUCAUGUUCUCAACCCCCAAUGCGCAGGAAGGAAGUGGUCGGCUGUUUGGGUGUCGUCGUUCCUUGCCAAGUGCCCGGCACGCAUCUAGUGUCCCCCUCCAACCAAGCUCCACUCCGCCGUAGUUGGGGCUUAGAAUGCCCUUUGUCGACCGGGAGGAGUCAUAGCAGCUUGCUCUGCAACUGCACUGUCAAGUCAGCAAGCCAUUUUCAUGUGGUAGCUUGGCGUUGGUACCACUAUCAACCAGAUGAAUAACAACGAGGUUUGUUGCAUUGGAAAUCCAAUUAACAAUGGGGACCUUGUUGCGACUAUUGAAUGAAUGGGAGAUCCAACUGCUUGUGCUUCUCAGUUUCAUGCUACAAAUAUUCCUCUUUUUUACUGGCAGCCUUCGACGACGUGGCGCUAAGUUUCUUAGUGGCAUCAUUUGGAUAGCUUAUUUAGUGGCAGACAUGGUAGCAGUUUACACCCUUGGUUUACUCUCAAAACAAGCGGAAAACACCACCCAACUGACAGAAAACCACCCACUAGCUUUCUUUUGGGCACCCUUCCUACUGCUUCAUCUUGGCGGACAGGACACCAUCACUGCUUUUUCCUUGGAGGACAACAGUUUGUGGUUGAGGCAUUUGUUAAAUUUGAUAGUCCAAGUGGUCCUAGCCUUGUAUGUCUUCUGGAAGUCUACUGCUUGGCGAAAUGUGCAGAUUCUUGUUCCGGGCAUCUUUAUGUUUGUUGCUGGAAUCAUUAAGUAUGGGGAGAGGACGAUCGCUCUCAUGUACGGGAACUUACAAAACAUCAGUGGCUACAAUAGUAAUGAAGAAGAAAAUA